rnacentral:lncRNA from 1 species
CAGCAAUAGCUGGGCAAUCGAUCACUGUUCGACAAGUUGGCGCUCAAGAUGCUAUUUCGCAAUGCACGGGUAAUCCAACAUUUUUGUAGUUAGUGAAGGCUACAGCGCCCAGUUGCAUUGUCAAUUUGUACCUAUAUCUGCAUUUCCAAGUUUAUUUUUUCGUUGGUUGGUUUUGUGUGGUUCUGUGCAAGAAAACUCUCCGCGAGAGGCACGCUGGACUGGCCGUGAUGGCGGGCGCGCACCAACCAACCGAAACAUUGCUGCAUGUGUGACUGUAUAUACACUGCUGGAAUUCAGCCCUUGUUUACUUCCCAAGUUGGGAGGUGCCAAAUUGGCAUUUUGCCAUAAAUGCGACACUGUAGCAUUUCGUUUGUAUUUGUGAAUUAUUGUCCAAAUAUUGACUAAUUAGGCUCAAAAGAUUCGUCUCGCAAAGU